CGCAACUGUAACGUCACAGAAAGGAUCCACAGUUGUCAGGCGAGCUUUUAUACAGGACAGUCAGCUGCUGCCCAAGGAUUCACACGCUGCAGUUAUCUGCCCUCUGCCCAAAGAACUGAAAGCCACUUAAGGAUGGCAAAUUAUAGCAGGGCCAAAGGGGGAAAAUGCAGAGUCACUGCGGUAGCGCGUAGUAACUUCGAGUGAAGCUUCUGACAUAGACUGCUUUUUAAGAGCAUCAGCAAGCUCCUGCUGCAGCUGUCUGAUCAUGCCCUAAUGAAACAAUUAAAUGAGCAUGAAUAAAGUCGUAAGAAUACGAAAAAUCCCUUUACUUUGACUUAUUUGAUUAUAGAGUUAGAUAUGUUUUUGAAUUGAACUCAAGUGAAAUUAUGUCACCAGCAGGCAUAUGCACAAUCACCUCUCCAUCUUUCUCAGCUGAGCACCCCCAAACUGUCAGCAGCUGUUCAUGAGGAUUUCUGUUUCCUAAUACAUAAAAAAGGUCCAGAUAUUGUUCUUCUUGAAACUGUGCAUAAGCACACACUGCAAUCAUGGGAAUUUUACUAACAUAAUCCAAAGAAACCUGUUGUGAUGCGAGAGCCAUAAUCUGACUGCAGAUACUAUUUUGUUGACCGAAGACAGGACUUGGUAUCACAUCAUUCUUUGUUCUAUUCCGACAUUUUACAAAUAUAAUUAAAUUAAUACCUAUAUCUAAAAGCUCCCUUUAGAUACACUCUA